UACGGAGGGUGCGAGCGUUAAUCGGAAUUACUGGGCGUAAAGCGCACGUAGGCGGCCUGUUAAGCUGGAUGUGAAAGCCCCGGGCUCAACCUGGGGAUUGCACCCAGAACUGGCAGGCUAGAGUACGGUAGAGGUGAGUGGAAUUUCCUGUGUAGCGGUGAAAUGCGUAGAUAUAGGAAGGAACAUCAGUGGCGAAGGCGACUCACUGGACUGAUACUGACGCUGAGGUGCGAAAGCGUGGGGAGCAAACAGGAUUACGAAACCCGGGUAGU
rnacentral:rRNA from 1 species